GAGGAAAUAGUUUAAUUAAAAUAUAAGAUUGUCGAUCUUUUGAUGCCUUUUAGGUUUUCCUUU
rnacentral:tRNA from 1 species